rnacentral:rRNA from 1 species
AUUGAACGCUGGCGGCAUGCUUUACACAUGCAAGUCGAACGGUAACAGGGAGCUUGCUCCGCUGACGAGUGGCGAACGGGUGAGUAAUGCAUCGGAACAUGCCCAGUCAUGGGGGAUAACUACGCGAAAGCGUAGCUAAUACCGCAUACGCCCUGAGGGGGAAAGGUAGGGGGAGUCUUAGGACCUCACGUGAUUGGAGUGGCCGAUGUCAGAUUAGCUAGUUGGUGAGGUAAAGGCUCACCAAGGCGACGAUCUGUAGCGGGUCGUGAGAGGAUGAUCCGCCACACUGGGACUGAGACACGGCCCAGACUCCUACGGGAGGCAGCAGUGGGGAAGUUUUGGUACGAAUAGGCGGCAAGACCUCGAUCCACGCCACUG